GAUGAACGCUGGCGGCGUGCCUAAUACAUGCAAGUCGAGCGAACAGAUAAGGAGCUUGCUCCUUUGACGUUAGCGGCGGACGGGUGAGUAACACGUGGGUAACCUACCUAUAAGACUGGGAUAACUUCGGGAAACCGGAGCUAAUACCGGAUAACAUUUGGAACCGCAUGGUUCUAAAGUGAAAGAUGGUUUUGCUAUCACUUAUAGAUGGACCCGCGCCGUAUUAGCUAGUUGGUAAGGUAACGGCUUACCAAGGCAACGAUACGUAGCCGACCUGAGAGGGUGAUCGGCCACACUGGAACUGAGACACGGUCCAGACUCCUACGGGAGGCAGCAGUGGGGAAUCUUCCGCAAUGGGCGAAAGCCUGACGGAGCAACGCCGCGUGAGUGAUGAAGGGUUUCGGCUCGUAAAACUCUGUUAUUAGGGAAGAACAAACGUGUAAGUAACUGUGCACGUCUUGACGGUACCUAAUCAGAAAGCCACGGCUAACUACGUG
rnacentral:rRNA from 1 species